UAGGGAAUCUUCCGCAAUGGGCGAAAGCUUGACGGAGCAACGCCGCGUGAGUGAUGAAGGUCUUCGGAUCGUAAAACUCUGUUAUUAGGGAAGAACAAAUGUGUAAGUAACUAUGCACGUCUUGCCGGUACCUAAUCAGAAAGCCACGGCUAACUACGUGCCAGCAGCCGCGGUAAUACGUAGGUGGCAAGCGUUAUCCGGAAUUAUUGGGCGUAAAGCGCGCGUAGGCGGUUUUUUAAGUCUGAUGUGAAAGCCCACGGCUCAACCGUGGAGGGUCAUUGGAAACUGGAAAACUUGAGUGCAGAAGAGGAAAGUGGAAUUCCAUGUGUAGCGGUGAAAUGCGCAGAGAUAUGGAGGAACACCAGUGGCGAAGGCGACUUUCUGGUCUGUAACUGACGCUGAUGUGCGAAAGCGUGGGGAUCAAACAGG
rnacentral:rRNA from 1 species